rnacentral:rRNA from 1 species
GUAGGUGGCAAGCGUUGUCCGGAAUUAUUGGGCGUAAAGCGCGCGCAGGCGGUUCUUUAAGUCUGAUGUGAAAGCCCACGGCUCAACCGUGGAGGGUCAUUGGAAACUGGAGGACUUGAGUACAGAAGAGGAAAGCGGAAUUCCACGUGUAGCGGUGAAAUGCGUAGAGAUGUGGAGGAACACCAGUGGCGAAGGCGGCUUUCUGGUCUGUAACUGACGCUGAGGCGCGAAAGCGUGGGGGAGCAAACAGGAUUAGAUACCCUGGUAGUCCACGCCGUAAACGAUGAGUGCUAAGUGUUAGGGGGUUUCCGCCCCUUAGUGCUGCAGCUAACGCAUUAAGCACUCCGCCUGGGAGUACGGCCGCAAGGCUG